GCACUGCGAUGCAGUGCCUUAGACCACUGCGACUCUACAAAGCCUCUUAUCAAGAAAUAAUAUUAAAAAGGAUGGAAAACAAGCCAACUGCAGUUGGAGUGUCUUCUUUCGUGAUCUUGGAGACCUCAAUUAUCCGUGGAGUUGCAAACUAUAUCAGAGGGUUUGGAAUGUGUGAAUUCAGUAUAUUGGCUACCAUCCAAAGCUCUCAAAGUACUAAUGUACGCACAAAAAAGACAACUUCCUGAUAUUAGGGCUGGCACAAUUGUCAUAUAGUCGUGUAACCGACAAUUCAAUCAAAUCAAAUCAAAUUGUAUUUGCCACAUGCGCCGAAUACAACAGGUGUAGACUUUACAGUGGAAUGCUU